rnacentral:tRNA from 1 species
GAGGUUGUGGCUCAGUGGCAGAGUACUUGUCUUGCACAUGUGAGACACUGGGUUUGAUCCUCAGCACCACA